GUUGAAUUCAGUUCAGAGGAGGAGGGACAGAGGUCAGCAUAUUCACGCUUGUUUUUUUGUUGUAUUUUUUCAGGGGGGGCGGCCAAAGGUCUCGAGCGCGUAGAAAAAUAAUCUGACAUGAGGAUGACAGCAGAUGAGAAUUGCACAAGAUCAUUUGGGUGCGAUAUAAUACUCUCAUAUUAAACAUUGAUGCCAGUCUUCUCACCACGUCUCCCACACAUGCCCAACUGUCCAUCUCCAUGGUAACCUCCCCCACAAAAAGGUUGGAGCAGAACAUUCAGUUCCCUAUUGUGUGUGUGCGUGUGUGUGUGUGUACAUAGCAGUCAAGCUUAAACGCGGAACAGCGGCGGGGGCGGGGGGUAUCCAUGUUUGUAGUCCUUUGAAAAGAGCGUACAUGUUAUGCCUGACAUGGUCCGUGUGUUUAUGGCUGGCUACAUUCUUUGAUUUCCACAGUAAAAGACAUGAGCGUCCGCCACUGCCCUGCAAAAUGAGAUGACAUCACUUAUCCGGAGAGCCC